CGGGAAGUUACGGACAAAACAGGGAUAAAUCCUCCAAGUCGUCCUCUCCAAUUUUCAGGAGGCGUGCUCACCCCAAGGAUUUCUUCCUCUCCGAGCCUGUUCUUCCCUGACCUCAACAACAAACUCUGCACUCCAACCAAUAAGGAAACUUCCUCCUUCUCAGAUCGAGCCCUCUGAGAAAUGAGCUGCCAAUGAGUCACCCUCGAGGUCAUC